UCAGCACUUCUCCUUGCUGCCGCCAUGUGAAGAAGGAUGUUUUUGUUUCCUCUUCUGCCAUGAUUGUAAGUUCCUGAGGCCUCCCCAGCCACGCUGAACUGUCUCACAUGAAAUAGAAGCACAUGUGGUACAUGAAAUUUCUCUUGGAUGAUAUAUUAAAAGACGUAUUAAAUUGAUAGCAUCUCUUGAAGUCAAAUAAUAAAGGAGGGGGCGUUGCCAGAGGAGGCAGAUAUUUGGUCAGUGGACUGAGAGAGGAAGAUCUACACUCAAUGUGGGUGAGCACCAUCCAGUUGGCUGCCAUUGCAGCUACAACAAAGCAGGUGGAAAAAUAUCUUAUGGUGAGAACCACAGUCACUCAAUUGGAAAACUUAAAUGCGAUGGGAAUAAUUGGACCCUGAGGUGGCAGGGGCCAAGUGGCAGCACUCAACCGUCAAAGGCAAG
rnacentral:lncRNA from 10 species